rnacentral:lncRNA from 1 species
CGCGUCGCUGCAGUUAUAGCCGAGAAAUCGGUAAGCGAAGGCGUCUCCGCCGCUGGACUGGAGGGCGAUGGUUCGCGGCCUGCCGGGGUUGCGCAAGUAGCCGGGAGGAGAGGCGAAGCGGUUGGUAACUUUGCGAAGGGAAAUUCGAGAGCCCCAGGAAGGAAGAGGAAACUUAUCCUCAUAAUGGCUAUAAAGUGUGACAAGGUUCGAAGUGACAAGAAGCAAGUUCUGUGAUCUGCAUGGAAAGGCACCGUUUGUGCAGUAAAAUAUAAAUGAUUAAAAUAAAGGAGGAAAGUAAUUUUAUGGAAAAAAAUCCAAAGGAAGGCUUUUGAAAUAAAAGACUGUCUUUUAUCUACAUGGGGCCGCUCUAGGUUUGAUUUGUGGUAGAUUGGUUGGUAGGCUUGGAAGGAACAAUUUAUGGUGAAUACUGAAGUUAUCCUCAGUUCAUUUCUCCUUUCCUGACAUCCUUUCAACAUCUGUUCUGUAAAAUAGAGCAAAACAAACUGUAGGUAGUCCUUGAUUUACAACCAUUUAGUGUCAGCUGGAAGUUCCAACAAGGCUGAAAGAAGUGGCUUUCAACCCUUCCUUGCGCUUAGGUGCUUGGCAAUCCGGCAUGUAUUUACAAUGGUUGCAGUGUUCAGGGGUUGCGAGAUUGCCAUUUGUGACCUUCCCAGCUGGCUUUCCAUAAAGUCAACAGCAGAAGCAAGAUUUGCUUAGUGACCAUAUGGUUCAUGGUCAUAUAGCAAAAAAAGGUUGUAAAAUUGGAUGAGACUCAGUUUACUGCCUUGCUUAGCAACAGAAAUUCUGGACUCAGUUGUGAUUGAUAAUUGAGGUUUACUUGUAGUCAUUUGGUACCAAAUGAAUUCUUUCAUGGCUGUAGUCCUUCCUGUCUUUCUGUCCCCCUAAACUGCUUUAAAAUUCUGAUCUCUGGAUUGUAAUGAUCUGCUUUUUUGUAUCUGUAUGGUCUUUUACAAAUGGAAACCUCGACUUGGGGCUGUAUCUUAUAGGACCACAUGAAAUAAUGCAUAAUUAGAUGUACACGCUACAGUGUACAGGUAGUCCUCAACUUAUGACCAAUUGACUCAAAUUUUCCAUUGCUAAGCAGGGCAGUUUAGUAGGUUUUGCCCCAUUUUUUGCCAUAUUUAAGUGAAUCACUGCAGUUGUUCAGUGAGUCAUGCAGUCAUUAAAGGAAUCUGGCUUCCCCAUUGACUAUGCUUAUCAGAAGCAGUUGGGAAAGCUACAAAUGGUGAUCACAUGACCCCGGGAGAAUGCAACUGUCAUAAACGCAUGCCAGUUGCCAAGCGCUCAAAUUUUAAUCUCAUGGCCAUGGGGAUUCUGCAUUGGUUGUAAGGGUGAAAAUUGGUUAUCACUUUUUUCAGGGCCUUUGUAACUUUGAACAGUCACUGAACGAAUGGUUGUAAGUUGAGGACUACCUGUAGUAUGUAUAAAGUCUGGAUGUCAGAGAAAGGAUGCCUAGAAUUUUUUAUCAAUUACAUUUCAGUGUUCCAUG